rnacentral:rRNA from 1 species
GCAGUCGAGCGGACUGAUGGGAGCUUGCUCCCUGAAGUCAGCGGCGGACGGGUGAGUAACACGUGGGUAACCUGCCUGUAAGACUGGGAUAACUCCGGGAAACCGGGGCUAAUACCGGAUAGUUCUUUUCCUCGCAUGAGGAAAAGUGGAAAGGCGGCUUCGGCUGCCACUUACAGAUGGACCCGCGGCGCAUUAGCUAGUUGGUGAGGUAACGGCUCACCAAGGCAACGAUGCGUAGCCGACCUGAGAGGGUGAUCGGCCACACUGGGACUGAGACACGGCCCAGACUCCUACGGGAGGCAGCAGUAGGGAAUCUUCCGCAAUGGACGAAAGUCUGACGGAGCAACGCCGCGUGAGUGAUGAAGGUUUUCGGAUCGUAAAGCUCUGUUGUUAGGGAAGAACAAGUGCCGUUCGAAUAGGGCGGCACCUUGACGGUGCCUAACCAGAAAGCCACGGCUAACUACGUGCCAGCAGCCGCGGUAAUACGUAGGUGGCAAGCGUUGUCCGGAAUUAUUGGGCGUAAAGCGCGCGCAGGCGGUCUCUUAAGUCUGAUGUGAAAGCCCACGGCUCAACCGUGGAGGGUCAUUGGAAA